UACGGGGGGAGCAAGCGUUGUUCGGAUUUACUGGGCGUAAAGGGCGGGUAGGCGGCCACCGCAAGUCGACUGUGAAAUCUCCGGGCUUAACCCGGAAAGGUCAGCCGAUACUGCGGGGCUAGAGUGCAGAAGGGGCAACUGGAAUUCUCGGUGUAGCGGUGAAAUGCGUAGAUAUCGAGAGGAACACCUGCGGCGAAGGCGGGUUGCUGGGCUGACACUGACGCUGAACUGCGAAAGCUAGGGGGGCGAACGGG
rnacentral:rRNA from 1 species